GGGGACGCGGGCGGCAGAAAGUGGAGCUGGGCUGGUGUGCGCGCGGCCGGAGUCUGUGGAGCUGGAAAUUCACCGGUCCAGGAAGACGUCUUUCCCGCGUCCCAGCACCGGUCCAGAAAGACGUCUUUCCCGCGUCCCAGCACCUCGGGCCACGCUCCUUCGUGAGAGCGCCCUCUCCAAGGAGGCCGGCCCUGGAUAUUUCACCCAAAAUAUUUAUUUUUUCUUUUUUUCUAGGCUCCUGUUUUCCUAAUAGCAUGAACAGCCCCCCCGUCAGCUCCUACCCCUUGGUCUCUGACCUGUUCCUCCUCCGAGGUGACCUCUAUCCUGAAUUUUGAAAACAUAUUAGUAUUGCCUGUUUCUGGACUUUGUGCAGAUGAAGUCAUUGGUUCUCCCUCUGUCACCCAGAGCUGGAGUGCGGUGGCAUAAUCACAGCUAAUUGCAGCCUCAACAUUCCAGGCCCAAGGAUCCUCCCUUCAGCCUUCCAGGUAGCUGGGACCACAGAGUCGGGGGUCUCCCUAUGUUUCCCAGGCUGGCCUCGAACUCCUGACCUCAAGUGAUCCUCCCACCUCAGCCUCCCCGAGUGCUGGGAUUAAAGACGUGAGCCACGGCACCUGGCCUGAAUUUUCCUCAAAUUCAAAAAAUCCUGAUGAAGGUUUGGCUAAAAUCUUUGGUGAGUUACCCCACUCCCUGUGGAACCUCAGGCUGGAUUUGAAGAGUUGCGUGCAUGGUCC
rnacentral:sRNA from 1 species